rnacentral:rRNA from 1 species
AUGAACGCUGGCGGCGUGCUUAACACAUUCCAGUCGCACGGUGAAGGCGGAGCUUGCUCUGCUGGAUCAGUGGCGAACGGGUGAGUAACACGUGAGCAAUCUGCCCCUGACUCUGGGAUAAGCGCUGGAAACGGCGGCUAAUACUGGAUACGAGCUGCGAAGGCAUCUUCAGCAGCUGGAAAGAAUUUCGGUCAGGGAUGAGCUCUCGGCCUAUCAGCUUGUUGGUGAGGUAAUGGCUCACCAAGGCGUCGACGGGUAGCCGGCCUGAGAGGGUGACCGGCCACCCUGGGCCUGCGACACGGCCCAGACUCCUACGGGCGGCAGCAGUCGGGAAUCUUGCACAAUGGGCGCAAGCCUGAUGCAGCAACGCCGCGUGCGGGACGACGGCCUUCGGGUUGUAAACCUCUUUUAGCAGGGAAGAAGCGAAAGUGACGGUACCUGCAGAAAAAGCGCCGGCUAACUACGUG